rnacentral:rRNA from 1 species
UCCGCCCUUUAGUGCUGCAGCUAACGCAUUAAGCACUCCGCCUGGGGAGUAUGGUCGCAAGACUGAAACUCAAAGGAAUUGACGGGGGCCCGCACAAGCGGUGGAGCAUGUGGUUUAAUUGGAAGCAACGCGAAGAACCUUACCAGGUCUUGACAUCUUCUGACAACCCUAGAGAUAGGGCUUUCCCCUUCGGGGGACAGAGGACAGGGUGGUGCA